AUGUGGAACCUGAAUAUCUCUAUGAAGCCAAGCACCUUCCACAUCUGCUUGGAAAAAGCUUUGGCUAUCUUUGAUUGGAGGUUGCUACGUAUGGUUGAUGGAUUGAACUUCAAGGAAUUUGUUUCUUUUCUCUCUACCUUCAGUGCAAGGGCCAGCCUUCAGCAAAAGAUUGAGUUGAAAUUUAAGGUGUAUGACAUUGAUGGCAAGGGGAAAGAUCCUUCAAGGACAUGGUAG
rnacentral:rRNA from 1 species